ensembl:antisense
AUAACUGUGCUGUGAAAAGUGCUGGAGUCCAUCUCUGGUGGGGUUCUGGAACCUGAAGACAGAUGUGUGGUCUCCGCAAAAGUGAGGACUCUGACUACCUGUUAGACCUUUCAACCAAGUGGCACUGAAUAGCUCGAGUCAUCUUUCUUUAAACAAUCUUUCUUUAAACAAUCACAAGCCUGCUCCCAGGAGCAGUGAUAUCAUUGGUUAUUCUACUUAAUGAAAUCAUAACAUCAGCAUUAUAAAAGCCCCAUCACUGUAAAAGCCCCCAAUAGUUUUCCUUCCUCCUUCCCAUCUCCUGCUAUCGAUUGAGGAAUGUAAGCUCCAGGGAUGUGGCAGACAGCAUCUGGUGUGCUCCAACUCAGAGAAGCCUUCGUGCAGCAAAAAAGAUGUUACAGAUAUUUCCCUUAGCAAACAAGGAUCAGAAACUCUAUACACAAUGCAGGAUUUUCACAUGCCUCUUUCUGCUCAUUUAUGAUAC